rnacentral:lncRNA from 1 species
CAGGGCAAAGCCAAGAAGUGAUUUUCCCCCCUCCCUGCCACGGGAACUGUGACCUAAUUCUCAUUCCUAAUCACAGAAUCAAAGGAGAAAUUUAUUUCAAUGAGCUAGUCUGAAAGAGCUAUUUGCCAAAUGGCUUUCUUUCCAAUACUUAAUGAAAAGAUGCAUUUUGUACUACUUUCAAAAAGUGAUAUGGACAGGAGACGGAAAUACUGGGUAGAAAAGGGCAGUUCCCUGGCAAAGCCUCACCCUCAAGCCUGGAUACCUGCUGUCUUAAACGAAAACGAAAACAGGCAUUUCUGUGUUCAUGCUCCAAAAGUUAUCUUUUGGCCUGCCACACCCCCUAUCCUGCACCCAUAUGAAUCCCGAACCCCAGACUCCAGAAGCAGACCAGCAAGCCCGCAGACCAGCAGAAGGAUGGCAGAACGAUGUGGCAGAGAAAGGGAGAAGAGGAGGAACAUCUGAAUGCCAAAAUGAGUUCAGCUGGGGGCAGUCAGAGAGGAGUCCAGCCACUGGGCAGCCAGAAUCCAGGGGAGGAUCACCUUUCCACUUCAUCCCCUUCCUCUGCCUCCCCAUCCAUCCUGCUGAAAGCCACCUCCACCACUCAAUAAAACCUGCCAUUCAUCCUUGGAAAAAAAAAAAAAAAAA